GACGAACGCUGGCGGCGUGCCUAAUACAUGCAAGUAGAACGCUGAAGGAGGAGCUUGCUUCUCUGGAUGAGUUGCGAACGGGUGAGUAACGCGUAGGUAACCUGCCUGGUAGCGGGGGAUAACUAUUGGAAACGAUAGCUAAUACCGCAUAAGAGUAGAUGUUGCAUGACAUUUGCUUAAAAGGUGCAAUUGCAUCACUACCAGAUGGACCUGCGUUGUAUUAGCUAGUUGGUGGGGUAACGGCUUACCAAGGCGACGAUACAUAGCCGACCUGAGAGGGGGAUCGGCCACACUGGGACUGAGACACGGCCCAGACUCCUACGGGAGGCAGCAGUAGGGAAUCUUCGGCAAUGGACGGAAGUCUGACCGAGCAACGCCGCGUGAGUGAAGAAGGGUGUCGGAUCGUAAAGCUCUGUUGUAAGAGAAGAACGAGUGUGAGAGUGGAAAGUUCACACUGUGACGGUAUCUUACCAGAAAGGGACGGCUAACUACGUG
rnacentral:rRNA from 1 species